GACGAACGCUGGCGGCGUGCCUAAUACAUGCAAGUAGAACGCUGAAGGAGGAGCUUGCUUCUCUGGAUGAGUUGCGAACGGGUGAGUAACGCGUAGGUAACCUGCCUGGUAGCGGGGGAUAACUAUUGGAAACGAUAGCUAAUACCGCAUAAGAGUAGAUGUUGCAUGACAUUUGCUUAAAAGGUGCAAUUGCAUCACUACCAGAUGGACCUGCGUUGUAUUAGCUAGUUGGUGAGGUAACGGCUCACCAAGGCGACGAUACAUAGCCGACCUGAGAGGGUGAGCGGCAAAAGUGGGAGUGAGAAAGGCCCAAGACGCCUGAGGGAGGAAGAAGGAGGGAAUGGUGGAAAAGGAGAGGAAGUCUGAAGGAGAAACGCGGGGUGAGGAAAGAGGGUGUGGGGAUAAAAAAGCUGUGUUGAAAGAGAAGAAGGAGUGGGGGAGGGAAAAGUUAACACGGUGAGGGUAUUUAACAAAAAAGGGAGGAAUAACUAGGU
rnacentral:rRNA from 1 species